rnacentral:rRNA from 1 species
AUUCCAGCUCCAAUAGCGUAUAUUAAAGUUGUUGCGGUUAAAAAGCUCGUAGUUGGAUCUCGGCGGGCAGGGGGUGGUUCGCUCUUCAGCGCUACUGCCCCGCUUUGCCCGUGUGAUUGGCGGAGGUUUCGGGGUGCUCUUCGUUGAGUGACUCGGAGCGCCGUCAGGUUUACUUUGAAAAAAUUAGAGUGCUCAAAGCAGGCUUUUCACGCUUGAAUAUUCGUGCAUGGAAUAAUGGAAUAGGAACUCGUUCCUAUUUUGUUGGUUUUCGGAAAUCGAGUUAAUGAUUAAUAGGGAUAGUUGGGGGCAUUAGUAUUUAUUAGCUAGAGGUGGAAUUCUCUAAUUUGAUAAAGACUAACUUAUGCGAAAGCAUUUGCCAAGGAUGUUUUCAUUA